GACGAACGCUGGCGGCGUGCCUAAUACAUGCAAGUCGAGCGCAGGAAACUGACGGAACUCUUCGGAGGGAAGGCAGUGGAAUGAGCGGCGGACGGGUGAGUAACACGUAAGGAACCUGCCUCAAGGAUUGGGAUAACACCGAGAAAUCGGAGCUAAUACCGGAUAGUUCAACGGACCGCAUGGUCCGCUGAUGAAAGGCGCUUCGGCGUCACCUUGAGAUGGCCUUGCGGUGCAUUAGCUAGUUGGUGGGGUAACGGCCCACCAAGGCGACGAUGCAUAGCCGACCUGAGGGGGUGAUCGGCCACACUGGGACUGAGAAACGGCCCAGACUCCUACGGGAGGCAGCAGUAGGGAAUCUUCCACAAUGGACGAAAGUCUGAUGGAGCAACGCCGCGUGAGUGAUGAAGGUUUUCGGAUCGUAAAACUCUGUUGUAAGGGAAGAACACGUACGAGAGGAAAUGCUCGUACCUUGACGGUACCUUACGAGAAAGCCGCGGCUAACUACGUGCAGCAGCCGCCGUAACAC
rnacentral:rRNA from 1 species